AUGCCGGCGCCGGACCGCGCCGCCGCGGCCGGCGGGCACCUCCGCGGCCACGCGCACCUCACCAACUGCGUACACCUGCGCCACCAUGGGGGAGGCGGCGGGGGGGCCGCGUCCUCCUCGGGCCGGAGGCGGAGCCCCGCGUCGGCAGCGCUGAUGCGCGACCUCCUCGCGCUCCAGCGCUCGCGGGCGCGGACGCUCCGGGACCCGUCCACGCGCCGCUCCGUCGAGUCCUCCAAGGUGGCGGCCGACCCCGACCCGUACACCGACGACGACCGCGACGGCGGCGUCGAUCUCCCCGCCAGGUCCCGACGCAGCGCCAAGGCCAACGGGGCGCUCAAGACGCUCCUCGACCAGCUCGCCGACAACCCCCACCCCAAGGCGGUCAGGCGCCCCCGCCGCCGCUUCAAACGCGGGGCCGGGGCCGGGGCCGCCCGCCGCGCCGGCACCGCCGGCAAGGCCCCAGAUCGCGCCGCCGCCGCGCUCUCCCUCAACUCCAGCUCCCAGGAGGCCGUCUACGGCAACAAGUACCUCUUCCGCGACGGCGACGAGCUGCGGCAGCAUGUGCCGCAGGACUCGCGCAACGUCUGCGGCAUCCCGUGGAACUGGUCACGCCUCCACCACCGCGGCAAGUCUAUCCUCGACCUGGCCGGCCGCAGUCUAUCGUGCGGGCUCUCCGACCCCAAGUCGGCCGCGGGGCGCGAGCCCGAAGCAACGGCCUCCGCCUCCGCCUCGCGCGCGCACCUCAGCGGUUCACACUCUCUUUUCCCGGUCAAGUCCGAGAGGCUGGCUUCCUCCACUAGCUCCGACUCUGACGCUUUGCCUCUGCUCGUCGAGGCGGCCACCUCCGGUGCACGCAAUGACAUUGGCGGCAUGACUGGCAGCUACUCCGGGGAGCUCGGGCUAUUCUCUAACAGGAGCAGCGGGAUGGAUUCUGACCUCUUGUCCCAGGUGCGGUCUGGGACACGGGGCUCUCUGCGAAGCCGCAGCCGGCACCGGAGCCUGACACAGAAGUUCGCGCCGAGGACGUUCAAGGACGUCGUCGGGCAGAGCUUGGUGGUGCAGGCGCUAUCCAACGCCGUCCUAAGGAGGAAGGUUGGGUUGGUAUACGUCUUCUAUGGGCCGCACGGCACAGGGAAGACAUCAUGUGCGCGCGUCUUCGCCAAGGCGCUCAACUGCCACUCUGCCGAGCACCCACGGCCCUGUGACUCGUGCAUUUCGUGCAUCGCGCACAAUGUUGGCAAAAGCAGGAACGUGAUGGAGAUUGGGCCCAUAGGCAACAUCGACAUGGAUGGAAUUGUGGAUGUUCUUGACAAUGUCAUGCUUUCACCGGCACCAUCACAUUAUAGGGUAUUCAUAUUUGAUGACUGCGACACAUUGCCAGCAGACACUUGGAGCAUCAUCUCGAAAGUCAUUGAACGGGCACCCCGUCGUGUGGUGUUUAUCCUUGUUGGUCCCAACCUCGACCUCCCUCAUAUCAUCCUGUCAAGAUGUCAAAAGUUUUUUUUCCCCAAGUUGAAGGAGUGUGAUAUCGUCAACACAUUGCAGUGGAUUUCCACCAGUGAAACUCUAGAUGCGGAUAGGGAUGCAUUGAGGUUAAUUGCAUCCCGUUCAGAUGGAUCGUUGAGAGAUGCUGAGAUGACUCUUGAUCAGCUGAGUUUGUUGGGGCAAAGGAUUUCUCUGUCUCUUGUCCAAGAACUCGUUGGUUUGGUAUCCGAUGAUAAGCUGGUUGAUUUGCUUGAUUUGGCACUAUCUGCUGACACUGUGAACACAGUGAAGACAUUACGAGACAUUACAGAAACUGGAGUUGAGCCUUCGGCACUGAUGUCUCAACUUGCCACGAUAAUUACUGACAUCCUGGCUGGUUCCUACAUAUUUGCAAGAGAAAGACCACGAAGAAAGUUCUUCAAACGUCCAACCUUGUCAAAAAAUGAUAUGGAGAAACUACGCCAGGCUUUGAAAACACUAUCGGAAGCUGAAAAGCAGUUGAGAGUCUCCAAUGACAAGGCAACAUGGCUUGCGGCUGCUCUGCUUCAGCUUGCUCCUGAUAAGCAGUAUAUGGUGCCAAGUUCAUCAACAAGUACGAGUUUCAACCACGGUGUAUUGGACGGUUCCCUUCCUGGUAAGGAUGUAGCAAGGCACUCAGCUAUUGAGCAUAAUGGUAACAUGGCAAGCACUUCUUACGGCGAAAGGAGAACCAUUAAACAUACAUCAAAUCACCAUGGUUCCUCCACUGUUACCAAAGUGAAUGAGCAAUCCAAACAUAGCAAAACUGAAAAUGAAAUGAUCUGGCAAGCAGUGCUUGAGAGUAUUCAGUCAGAUACACUACGAAAAAUGAUGGCCAAAGAAGGAAAGCUAAGAUCUGUCAGCCUAGGCACCGGACCGACAGUGCAAGUGAUAUUCAGCUCACGUGUAAAUAAGUCCAACGCUGAAAACUUCAGGGGACAAAUUAUGCAGGCGUUUGAGUCUGUUCUUCAUUCUGCUAUAAUACUUGAAAUCCGAUAUGAAGCAAAACAUGAUGCGGGAGCAGGUCAUGAUGAGAAUGACUCUGACACGAUAUCAAGGAGAUCCUUCAGUAAACAUAGCCCGGUUUCUUCUGGAGGUGAAACCCUCGUCAGGAGGCUUAAAAAAGACAGGGUUGUCAAGGGAGCUAGUUCUACUAAGACCAAGUGGAUGCAGUCUGAUCCCCACAUAUUAACAGAAGGCGAGAUCAUUGAAGUUGGACCUUCUCACAUGCACCGGUGUCCUGAAACAGAUAAUGGUGUUCAUAAUAUAAAUGAAAGAAGAAAUGAUAAUGCAUGGGAAGAGGCUUUGUCAUCACCAAACCAAGAGGGCGUGAUUAAACAAGGAGGAAAAAAUGGGAAUAAACAGCGUCGACAGAACAGCAUAGUAAAACGAAAGCUCUCACUUGCUCAUGUUCUCAGUAAGGUGGAGGUUUGUUCUCAACAAGGAGGCUGGUCUAGACGAAAAGCUAUGUCAAUUGCAGAAAAACUGGAACAAGAGAAUUUGAGAUUAGAGCCUAGAUCGAGAAAUAUACUGUGUUGGAGAACUUCAAAGACUCGCCGGAAGCUCUCGUCGUUUAGGUUCAGGACUGGAAGUGGAAGGUCACGAGCUAUAUCUCGGCUUAUCCUGUGUGGAAGAUGCAUUUCCACAAAAUCCCCAAGAUAA
rnacentral:rRNA from 1 species